rnacentral:rRNA from 1 species
AUUGAACGCUGGCGGCAUGCCUAACACAUGCAAGUCGAACGGUAACAGGCCCUUCGGGGUGCUGACGAGUGGCGGAUGGGUGAGUAAUACUUAGGAAUCUACCCUGUAGUGGGGGAUAACCCGGGGAAACUCGGGCUAAUACCGCGUACGCCCUACGGGGGAAAGCGGGGGACUUUCGGGCCUCGCGCUAUUAGAUGAGCCUAAGUCCGAUUAGCUAGUUGGUAGGGUAAUGGCCUACCAAGGCGACGAUCGGUAGCUGGUCUGAGAGGACGACCAGCCACACUGGGACUGAGACACGGCCCAGACUCCUACGGGAGGCAGCAGUGGGGAAUAUUGGACAAUGGGCGCAAGCCUGAUCCAGCGAUGCCGCGUGUGUGAAGAAGGCCUGCGGGUUGUAAAGCACUUUCAGUAGGGAAGAAAGCCGAGUGCUAAUAUCACUCGGUCUUG